rnacentral:rRNA from 1 species
AUUGAACGCUGGCGGCAUGCUUUACACAUGCAAGUCGGACGGCAGCACAGAGAAGCUUGCUUCUUGGGUGGUGAGUGGCGAACGGGUGAGUAACAUAUCGGAACGUACCGAGCAGUGGGGGAUAACUAAUCGAAAGAUUAGCUAAUACCGCAUAUAUUCUGAGGAAGAAAGCAGGGGACCAUUUGGCCUUGCGCUGUUUGAGCGGCCGAUAUCUGAUUAGCUGGUUGGUGGGGUAAAGGCCUACCAAGGCGACGAUCAGUAGCGGGUCUGAGAGGAUGAUCCGCCACACUGGGACUGAGACACGGCCCAGACUCCUACGGGAGGCAGCAGUGGGGAAUUUUGGACAAUGGGCGCAAGCCUGAUCCAGCCAUGCCGCGUGUCUGAAGAAGGCCUUCGGGUUGUAAAGGACUUUUGUCAGGGAAGAAAAGGAUAGGGUUAAUACCCCCGUCUGAUGACUGUAUCCUGAAGAAUAAGC